rfam:Triticum urartu cultivar G1812 contig1034648, whole genome shotgun sequence.
UUGGUACUCCCUCCGUUCCAAAUUACCCGUCGCAAAAGUAGAUGUAUCUAGAACUAAAAUACAUCUAGAUACAUUCAUACCCACAACAAGUAAUUCGGAACGGAGGGAGUAAUAU